rnacentral:rRNA from 1 species
CUCUGUGACUCCUACGGGAGGCAGCAGUGGGGAAUAUUGCACAAUGGGGGAAACCCUGAUUGCAGCCAUGCCGCGUGUGUGAAGAAGGCCUUCGGGUUGUAAAGCACUUUCAGUAGGGAGGAAGGUAGUGUAGUUAACACCUGCACUAUUUGACGUUACCUACAGAAGAAGCACCGGCUAACUCCGUGCCAGCAGCCGCGGUAAUACGGAGGGUGCGAGCGUUAAUCGGAAUUACUGGGCGUAAAGCGCAUGCAGGCGGCCUGUUAAGUCAGAUGUGAAAGCCCGGGGCUUAACCUCGGAAUUGCAUUUGAAACUGGCAGGCUAGAGUCUUGUAGAGGGGGUAGAAUUUCAGGUGUAGCGGUGAAAUGCGUAGAGAUCUGAAGGAAUACCAGUGGCGAAGGCGGCCCCCUGGACAAAGACUGACGCUCAGAUGCGAAAGCGUGGGGAGCAAACAGGAUUAGAUACCCUUGUAG